rnacentral:rRNA from 1 species
UACGUAGGGGGCUAGCGUUGUCCGGAAUCAUUGGGCGUAAAGCGCGUGUAGGCGGUCCGGUAAGUCCGCUGUGAAAGUCGGGGGCUCAACCCUCGAAUGCCGGUGGAUACUGUCGGGCUAGAGUGCGGAAGAGGCGAGUGGAAUUCCUGGUGUAGCGGUGAAAUGCGCAGAUAUCAGGAGGAACACCAAUUGCGAAGGCAACGCGUCUGGGACGUUACUGACGCUGGAGAACGCGAAAGCGUGGGGAGCAAACAGG